GAUGAAGAACGUAGCGAAAUGCGAUAAGUAAUGUGAAUUGCAGAAUUCAGUGAAUCAUCGAGUCUUUGAACGCACAUUGCGCCCCCUGGUAUUCCGGGGGGCAUGCCUGUCCGAGCGUCAUUGCUGCCCUCAAGCACGGCUUGUGUGUUGGGCCCCCGUCCCCGGUUUCCCCCGGGGACGGGCCCGAAAGGCAGCGGCGGCACCGCGUCCGGUCCUCGAGCGUAUGGGGCUUUGUCACCCGCUCUGUAGGCCCGGCCGGCGCCAGCCGAAACCCAACUUUAUUUCUAAGGUUGACCUCGGAUCAGGUAGGGAUACCCGCUGAACUUAAGCAUAUCAAUAAGCGGAGGA
rnacentral:misc_RNA from 1 species